rnacentral:rRNA from 1 species
GAUGAACGCUGGCGGCGUGCUAAUACAUGCAAGUCGAACGGGCUGCCAUAAGGCAGCCAGUGGCGAACGGGUGAGGAGCACAUGGGGAACCUGCCCGUCAGAGGGGGACAACAGCUGGAAACGGCUGCUAAGACCGCAUAGGCUCAAGGAGGGCAUCCUCGUUGAGUUAAAGUGUCCUUUCGGGGACAGCUGACGGAUGGACCUGUGGCGCAUUAGCCAGUUGGCGGGGUAAAGGCCCACCAAGGCGACGAUGCGUAGCCGGCCUGAGAGGGCGGACGGCCACACUGGGACUGAGACACGGCCCAGACUCCUCGGGAGGCAGCAGUAGGGAAUUUUCGGCAAUGGGGGGAACCCUGACCGAGCAACGCCGCGUGAGUGAGGAAGGCCUUCGGGCUGUAAAGCUCUGUUGCAGAGGAAGAACGGGAGAGCGAGGAAAUGCGCUUUUUCGUGACGGUACUCUGCGAGAAAGCCACGGCUAACUA